AAACUUCGUCGGCAUCGAAGCCAAAAGCGCGAGCGCUCUCUCUCUCUCUCUUCCCCCCUCCUCUCUCUCCCUCCCCGUCUUGAAUCCUAUAAGGGCCUUAAAACUGGCGCCAUUCAGAUAGUGUAACCCCGAUUCCGGCUCAAUUGGAGGUCUCGGCGCUCUAAGAGCCUCGAGAUUUGGCGGGUGGAGCUCUGGGUGCAAGCUCGGGCCGCCGGGGGCGCUCCAGCGGCGCGUUCUUGGAGGGAUGCCUGGGUUCCGAAGGAGAGGAAGAUGCCCAACACUUGAAAUUCCCAGUCAUUUUCUUUGGUUUUGUUUCAGAAAGUUAGAAUUCCCAUUCUUUUUCCUUUUUCCGAUUCGGAAAACUGGCAUGGGUUACCUCAACUGCAGAUGCUUCUUUUUUCCAUCCGUUCCUUUUCUUUUCCUCCUACUGUGCUUUCCCUCUGCAGCAACUGGUGACCUAAAAUCUGAUAAGCAACUUCUCCUUGCAUUUGUUGAUGCAGUCCACCAUGGCCGCAAACUCAACUGGAAUUCCAACACCUCAGUCUGCUCCUCUUGGAUUGGAGUGACAUGUACAGCAGACCAAACUCGUGUCCUUGCCCUCAGGCUACCAGGGGUUGGGCUCUUCGGCCCAAUCCCCGCAAAUACACUUGGCAAGCUUGAUGCCCUCCGAGUCUUGAGCCUCCGAUCUAACCAUCUAAAUGGAAGUCUCCCAUCUGAUAUCAUGUCACUUCCUUCCCUGCAAUAUCUUUACCUGCAACACAAUAAUUUAUCUGGAGAUAUACCAGCCUCACUUUCUCUCAGCCUCGUCUCCUUUGAUCUCUCAUAUAACUCCUUUACAGGAGAAAUUCCCCUGGGAAUUCAAAACCUGUCUCAACUCUCUUUGUUGAAUCUACAAAACAACUCUCUCUCUGGACCCAUCCCUGACCUGAAACUCCCAAGGCUAAAACAUAUGAAUAUGAGCUACAACCAUCUAAAUGGCUCCAUACCCUUUUCCCUCCAAAAGUUUCCAAAUGACUCAUUCCUGGGAAACCCUCAAUUAUGUGGCCCACCUCUACCUCAGUGCUCUGCAGUUCUUCCUUCACCUUCACCAUUUUCACCAUUUUCUCCUCCCUUGUCACCCCAACCAGCAUUCCCCCAAAAUCAUAAGAAAAAAUCUGGGAAAAAAAUUAGUACAGGAUUUAUAAUUGCAAUUGUUGCUGGGGCAUUGGCCUUGCUGCUGCUACUUGCAAUGGUUCUAAUUAUAUGCAUUUCAAGGAGGAAGGAUGGAAGAAGCAGCGGAGGAUCGAAGGAGAAGGGCUCCAAUGUUGAAAAGCCUAAAGAGGAGUACAGUAGUGGAGUUCAAAUGGCUGAGAAGAAUAAGUUGGUUUACUUUGAGGGCUGUGCUUAUAACUUUGACUUGGAGGAUCUGCUGAGAGCUUCUGCUGAAGUCCUUGGGAAGGGGAGUUAUGGAACAGCUUAUAAGGCUGCUCUUGAGGAUGGCACAACAGUGGUGGUGAAGAGGUUGAAGGAGGUGGUGGUGGGGAAGAGAGACUUUGAACAGCAGAUGGAGAUAAUGGAAAGGGCUGGGCAGCACCCUAAUCUUGUUCCACUUCGUGCUUAUUACUACUCGAAAGAUGAAAAGCUUCUAGUCUAUGAUUAUGUUCCCACUGGCAACUUCUCUACCCUCUUGCAUGGAAACAGAGGCACUGAAGGGACUCCACUGGACUGGGACUCCAGGGUGAAAAUCAUACUUGGAACAGCACAUGGCAUUGCACACAUUCAUUCUGAAGGUGGUCCAAAGUUUGUCCAUGGAAACAUCAAAUCCUCCAACGUCCUCCUUAAUCAUGACCUUAACCCUUUUGUCUCUGAUUAUGGCCUCUCUCCUCUUAUGAAUCCUCCUGCCAACCUCUCCCGGGUCGUGGUGGGCUACCGUGCACCUGAAACCAUAGAGACCCGAAAGAUCACUCAGAAGUCUGAUGUCUAUAGCUUCGGGGUCCUUCUCCUUGAGAUGCUCACCGGGAAAGCUCCACUUCAGGGCCAAGGGCAUGACGAUGUUGCUGAUCUGCCAAGGUGGGUCCAAUCCGUGGUCCGGGAGGAGUGGACUGCUGAAGUUUUUGAUGUGGAGCUGUUGAGGUAUCAGAACAUCGAGGAACAGUUGGUUCAGAUGCUUCAGAUUGCAAUGAGUUGUGUAGCGAGAACUCCAGAACAACGCCCGAGAAUGGAGGAGGUGAUUACGAUGAUCGGGGAGAUCCAGCAGUUUGGCUCAAAAGGCCGGCCAUCCUUGGAAGGCGAGCCUGAGGACUCCGUUGUGCGAACAUCAUGAGGGGUGAGUGAGAUGGCAUUGCUUCUGGAUUUCAUUUUAAGACAACUGAUUUGACUCCAUUAGAGAGUUUCAAUUAUGUAAGGAUGCUUGAAUCUAUGCAUGGUGUGCUGUGCACAAAGGAGCGUGCAGAGCCAGUAACAUGUUCCAUCUGGCGUCGGGCUUGGUAGUUGUGCGACAACUUUGGUACUAAUUCGUGCAUAAUUUGAUUGGAAUGUCUGCAGGUAUAACCUUGUGCUCUCACAGCCGCGGAUGACCCAAAGGAGGAUGAUUAUGGAAAGCCCUCAACUAGUUUCUGCCCCGAUGAAUUAUUAUUUUUAUGGAGACUAUGGAAUUAAGUGGAUUUAACAAGCGGCUGCAAAAUGACAACUAAUACAUGCAUGCUUAAAAUUCCUCGUUUAUGAGUAUGAUCGCUCAUUGCACGAUAAAUGCUUUAGUUUUAGACUUAAUACUCUUUAAUUUUGAUUUCAUUUAUUCGUACAACUUUGUACAAUUGUAUAUGGGUUUAAUAUAUGAGCUCUUCUUAGUGGUUCUUUACCA